rnacentral:rRNA from 1 species
UGGCGGCAGGCUUAACNCAUGCAAGUCGAACGCCCCGCAAGGGGAGUGGCAGACGGGUGAGUAACGCGUGGGAACGUACCCUUUACUACGGAAUAACUCAGGGAAACUUGUGCUAAUACCGUAUGUGCCCUUCGGGGGAAAGAUUUAUCGGUAAAGGAUCGGCCCGCGUUGGAUUAGCUAGUUGGUGGGGUAAAGGCCUACCAAGGCGACGAUCCAUAGCUGGUCUGAGAGGAUGAUCAGCCACAUUGGGACUGAGACACGGCCCAAACUCCUACGGGAGGCAGCAGUGGGGAAUAUUGGACAAUGGGCGCAAGCCUGAUCCAGCCAUGCCGCGUGAGUGAUGAAGGCCCUAGGGUUGUAAAGCUC